ACCCCUUAAGGACCAAAGUUCUGGAAUAAAAGGGAAUCAUGACAUGUCACACAUGUCAUGUGUCGGGUUAAGGACACAUGACAUGUGUGACAUGUCAUGAUUCCCUUUCAUUCCAGAACUUUGGUCCUUAAGGGGU